GAUGAACGCUGGCGGCGUGCCUAACACAUGCAAGUCGAGCGGCAGCGAGGGGUGCUUGCACCCUGUCGGCGAGCGGCGGACGGCUGAGUAACGCGUGGGAACGUGCCCCAAAGUGAGGAAUAACUGCCCGAAAGGGUAGCUAAUACCGCAUAUUAUCUUCGGAUCAAAGGAUUUAUCCGCUUUGGGAGCGGCUCGCGUCGGAUUAGGUAGUUGGUGAGGUAAUGGCUCACCAAGCCGACGAUCCGUAGCUGGUCUGAGAGGAUGACCAGCCAGACUGGAGCUGAGACACGGUCCAGACUCCUACGGGAGGCAGCAGUGAGGAAUCUUCCACAAUGGGCGAAAGCCUGAUGGAGCAACGCCGCGUGCAGGACGAAGGCCUUCGGGUGGUAAACUGCUUUUAUAAGUGAGGAAUAUGACGGCAACUUAUGAAUAAGGAUCGGCUAACUACGU
rnacentral:rRNA from 1 species